rnacentral:tRNA from 1 species
GCGAGCGUAGUCUAGUGGUUAUGAUGUCUGCUUUACAUUCCCUCAAUGUGAAGCGCAGAAGGUCGGGAGUUCGAUCCUCCCCGCUCGUA